CAGCAGCCGCGGUAAUACGAAGGGGGCUAGCGUUGUUCGGAUUAACUGGGCGUAAAGGGCGCGUAGGCGGGUUUUUAAGUCAGGGGUGAAAUCCCAAGGCUCAACCUUGGAACUGCCUUUGAUACUGGAAGUCUUGAGUCCGGGAGAGGUGAGUGGAACUGCGAGUGUAGAGGUGAAAUUCGUAGAUAUUCGCAAGAACACCAGUGGCGAAGGCGGCUCACUGGCCCGGUACUGACGCUGAGGCGCGAAAGCGUGGGGAGCAAACAGGAUUAGAUACCCCCGUAGUCCCUGUCUCUUAUAA
rnacentral:rRNA from 1 species